GUCCAGGGAUGGGAAUCGAACCCACAUUGUUUAGCUUACCGGGAAGAUGCCAUGUCCACUAGGUUACCCUGGA
rnacentral:tRNA from 1 species